GGUGCUGCAGGAACGUGAGCUCGCGAGGGGAAAGGCUCUGGGCAGAAUCGGGGACCCCCCCGCGACCCCCUGCACGGGAGCCAGUGGGCCAGGAAGCCAGCCGGGUCUCGCCGCCUGCCCAGCCGGGUCCCUGACCCUUCCCGGUGCCAGGCAGGAUGGUGAGGUCACCUCGGAGAGUGAGAGGCCGUUUGCUACUGCGAUUCCUAGGAUUUUUCUAGGAAGAUUCCACUCCAAGAGACUCAUUCCUACCAUGUGGGCAGGUGACUGUCUAAACCACUGAGGGAGGAUACUCAAGAAAAGCAGAAUCUUCCACACAGAUGCCCAAGACAUGCACCAAGACAUCGUGGGUGACCCACCUCCAGGCAGCCCCCACCCCUGCAUCUCCUGCAUUACCAUCUGAAGCCUAUUGAUUCUCUUUCCUAAAAAGUCCUUCUGCACAGAUCUGUAGUUUUCAGGGCAGUUACUAAGCAUAUGAUUCCAGACCAAGAUAACCCGUGUUCCUUACCUUCUUAUAAAUCUCUAAGGGUCUCCAUCUUUAGCAAGGAAAACGUUGAGCCUCUUAGCACAGGCUCCUGCUUCAAAUCCCCAUCUGUCCCAUAUCUUCUCAGAUACCACCUCACAGACACAAACCUUUAGGAUGUGCAACACACAGUCACUUCUCAUUUUUCAAGCAUGUCACAUUGGGCCACGAUUCUGUGACUUCGCACAUUUUGCCCCUCUUGACUGAUGUGAUUUCUCUUUUCCCAGUGAAUUCCUAUUCAGUCUUCCAGACACAACCUACAUGUCACUUCAUCUCAGAAAUUUUCCUGUCUUCUCUGGGUUGGUCAAUAAUCUAAGCUUGUCUUAUUCAUUUCUGUAUCAAUAAAACGUGACACAUGGUAGCAUCUCAGCACCUAUGCAACUGGGUUUUGGUUUUCUUCUUGUGUCUCCAAAUACUCUCCUCACUCUUCUUUCUGGGACUGUCUUUCUCCACCAGUCAUUAGCUGUUGAUGUUCCUCAGGGCUGGCCAUAUGGCAUUUCAAAAUAUCAGAAUAAUAACUCUUUACAUUGUGUCUUGGUAAUCCAUCUGCUCCCCUGGCUGCACUAUCCACUCAGAUGCUGACGUUUUCCAGAAUUGUAGCUCCAGUCCUGCCUCUCCCUACACCCCAGAUCUUUCCAUUCAUGGAUGUGAUGGUUGUCUAGAGACUUGACUAUUUCACAGAGCCCUCAAACUCAAAGCUUUGAACCGAUUUUACUUUCAUCUCCUUAUGUACCCCUAAAUCCUUAUUCAUUUCAAUACUCCCUCAUUAGUGGCAUCAGUGACAUAUGCUCAAUGUCCAAAUGAUUCUACCCAAAAACAACCUCCCUCUGUCUUGUUAAACAACAAAGUUUUGGGGUACCUGGAUGAAUCAGUUGAUUAGGCAUCUGACUCUUGGUUUUGGCUCAGGCCAUGAUCUCAGGGUCCUGAGACUGAGCCCCACAUUGGUCUCUGCAUUCAAUGGAGAGUCUGCUUGAGAUUCCUUCCUUCUCCCUCUGCCCCUCUCCCAGCACUUGUUCUCUCUCUCUCUCAAAAACAAAAUAAAAUAAAUAAACAAACAAACAAACAAACAAAUAAAUAAAUCUUAAAAAGAAAAAAAAAACAAGGUUGUGGGAUGCUUCCUGUACAAUAGUUUUCAAAUCUGUUCAGCCUCUCCAAUCCAACACUAUUCUCCAUCAUCCCCUUGGUCAAGACCGCCAUUGUCUCUUUUCUGUACUUCUGCAACAAACCCAUAACUCAUUCCCUGCCUCUAUUUAUUUUACCCCCAUCCAUCCACCAUCUAAUAGCCAGGAUGGUGACUCUAAAAUACCAACAUCGUCACAUCAUUUUUUUUUCUAUUUGAAAUUUUCCAAAGGUUCUCCUCGUUUGUGGGUUUCAAAGCUUCUGUGUGGUUCACAAAGAUCUGGAUUUCUGUGUCUUGCUUCUCUGAACCCUGUAGCCAUGUUGGAUCACUCAAUUCCGCACUGGACUCUGUUCUCUCUGGGUCUCAUUCUGCUCAUAUGCUGCCUUCUUCCCAACCUUACCUAACCCAUAGUCAACCUUCACACAUCAG